rnacentral:rRNA from 1 species
ACGGGUGAGUAAUACAUCGGAACGUGCCCUGUAGUGGGGGAUAACUAGUCGAAAGAUUAGCUAAUACCGCAUACGACCUGAGGGUGAAAGUGGGGGACCGCAAGGCCUCAUGCUAUAGGAGCGGCCGAUGUCUGAUUAGCUAGUUGGUGAGGUAAAGGCUCACCAAGGCGACGAUCAGUAGCUGGUCUGAGAGGACGAUCAGCCACACUGGGACUGAGACACGGCCCAGACUCCUACGGGAGGCAGCAGUGGGGAAUUUUGGACAAUGGGCGAAAGCCUGAUCCAGCAAUGCCGCGUGUGUGAAGAAGGCCUUCGGGUUGUAAAGCACUUUUGUCCGGAAAGAAAUGGCUCUGGUUAAUACCUGGGGUCGAUGACGGUACCGGAAGAAUAAGGACCGGCUAACUACGUGCCAGCAGCCGCGGUAAUACGUAGGGUCCAAGCGUUAAUCGGAAUUACUGGGCGUAAAGCGUGCGCAGGCGGUUGUGCAAGACCGAUGUGAAAUCCCCGAGCUUAACUUGGGAAUUGCAUUGGUGACUGCACGGCUAGAGUGUGUCAGAGGGGGGUAGAAUUCCACGUGUAGCAGUGAAAUGCGUAGAGAUGUGGAGGAAUACCGAUGGCGAAGGCAGCCCCCUGGGAUAACACUGACGCUCAUGCAC